rnacentral:rRNA from 1 species
UACGGAGGGUGCAAGCGUUGUCCGGAAUUAUUGGGUGUAAAGGGUGCGUAGGCGGCUUGGUCAGUCAGAGGUGAAAGCCCGCAGCUUAACUGCGGAACUGCCUUUGAUACUGCCAAGCUUGAAUCUUGGAGAGGUUGCUGGAAUUUGUGGUGUAGCAGUGAAAUGCGUAGAUAUCACAAGGAACACCAGAGGCGUAGGCGAGCAACUAGACAAGUAUUGACGCUGAGGCACGAAAGUGUGGGGAGCGAACAGG